GUGGUGCUGAAGGCCAAGAAGGAAGCUCCUUCCUCCCCUCGAGAUGAAGCCAAAGCAGAAGCUCUGAAGGCCAAGAAGGCACUGCUGAAAGGCAUCCACAGCCACACACGCACACACACACACAAAACAUCCACAUGUCACUCACCUUCCAGCAGCCCAAGAUACCAAAACUCCGAAGGCAGCCCCAGGAGGAAGUAGCUUAACCAUGCUUCCAUCAAGUUCCCCCAGCCACUGAGUCUGCCAUGAGGAAGCUAGAUGAAAGAAAACACUUGUGCUCAUUGGGGAUGUUAAAGCCAACAAGCACCAAAUCAAACAGGUUGUGAAGAAGCUCUCUGACAUUGAUGUGGCCAAGUCCACAUCCUGAUCAGCCCUGAUGGAGAGAAGAAGGCAUAUGUUCCACUGGCUCCUGAUUAAGAUGCUUCGGAUGUUGCCAACAAAAUCGAGAUCAUCU
rnacentral:lncRNA from 10 species